rnacentral:rRNA from 1 species
GACGAACGCUGGCGGCGUGCUUAACACAUGCAAGUCGAACGGAAAGGCCCUGCUUUUGUGGGGUGCUCGAGUGGCGAACGGGUGAGUAACACGUGAGUAACCUGCCCUUGACUUUGGGAUAACUUCAGGAAACUGGGGCUAAUACCGGAUAGGAGCUCCUGCUGCAUGGUGGGGGUUGGAAAGUCUCGGCGGUUGGGGAUGGACUCGCGGCUUAUCAGCUUGUUGGUUGGGUAGUGGCUUACCAAGGCUUUGACGGGUAGCCGGCCUGAGAGGGUGACCGGCCACAUUGGGACUGAGAUACGGCGCAGACUCCUACGGGAGGCAGCAGUGGGGAAUAUUGCACAAUGGGCGGAAGCCUGAUGCAGCAACGCCGCGUGCGGGAUGACGGCCUUCGGGUUGUAAACCGCUUUCGCCUGUGACGAAGCGUGAGUGACGGUAAUGGGUAAAGAAGCACCGGCUAACUACGUG